CCCUUUUUCCAGAUUUUUGUUGGAAUUGUUAUCCCUUUUCCUCCGAAUCAUUAUUGAAAGGCAGAUUAAUUUAUGAGCAUAUACCAACCAAGUUGUAAUGUUAUUGUGCAAAUUGGGUGAUGCUUCAGGCACAUUU
ensembl:snoRNA snoRNA:Psi28S-1175c snoRNA:Psi28S-1175c